rnacentral:rRNA from 1 species
CCUACGGAAGGCAGCAGUGAGGAAUAUUGGUCAAUGGGCGCGAGUCUGAACCAGCCAAGUCGCGUGAGGGAAGACUGCCCUAUGGAUUGUAAACUUCUUUUGUCGAGGAGUAAAACGCGCCACGUGUGCCUUUCUGAGUGUACUCUAUGAAUAAGGAUCGGCUAACUCCGUGCCAGCAGCCGCGGUAAUACGGAGGAUCCGAGCGUUAUCCGGAUUUAUUGGGUUUAAAGGGAGCAUAGAUGGGUAGUUAAGUCAGUUGGUAAAGUUAGCGGCUCAACCGUCUACGAGCAAUUGAAACUGGUAUUCUUGAGUGAACGAGAGGUAUGCGGAAUGCGUGGUGUAGCGGUGAAAUGCAUAGAUAUCACGCAGAACCCCGAUUGCGAAGGCAGCUUAC